CCUACGGGAGGCAGCAGUAGGGAAUCUUCCACAAUGGACGAAAGUCUGAUGGAGCAACGCCGCGUGAGUGAAGAAGGGUUUCGGCUCGUAAAGCUCUGUUGGUAGUGAAGAAAGAUAGAGGUAGUAACUGGCCUUUAUUUGACGGUAAUUACUUAGAAAGUCACGGCUAACUACGUGCCAGCAGCCGCGGUAAUACGUAGGUGGCAAGCGUUGUCCGGAUUUAUUGGGCGUAAAGCAAGUGCAGGCGGUUCAUAAAGUCUGAUGUGAAAGCCUGCGGUCAAACCGGAGAAUUGAAUCGGAACUGGUUAACUUGAGUGGAGGAGAGGGAUGGGGGACGUCAUGUGUAGCGGUGGAAUGCGUAGAUAUAUGGAAGAACACCAGUGGCGAAGGCGGCUCUCUGGUCUGCAACUGACGCUGAGGCUCGAAAGCAUGGGUAGCGAACAGGAUUAGAUACCCUUGUAGUC
rnacentral:rRNA from 1 species